rnacentral:rRNA from 1 species
UACGUAGGGUGCAAGCGUUGUCCGGAAUUAUUGGGCGUAAAGAGCUCGUAGGCGGUCUGUCGCGUCGGCUGUGAAAUCCCGAGGCUCAACCUCGGGUCUGCAGUCGAUACGGGCAAACUAGAGUAUUGCAGGGGAGACUGGAAUUCCUGGUGUAGCGGUGAAAUGCGCAGAUAUCAGGAGGAACACCGGUGGCGAAGGCGGGUCUCUGGGCAGUAACUGACGCUGAGGAGCGAAAAGCGUGGGGGAGCGAACAGG